rnacentral:rRNA from 1 species
AUGAACGCUGGCGGCGUGCCUAAUACAUGCCAGUCGAGCGAACAGACGAGGAGCUUGCUCCUCUGACGUUAGCGGCGGACGGGUGAGUAACACGUGGAUAACCUACCUAUAAGACUGGGAUAACUUCGGGAAACCGGGGCUAAUACCGGAUAAUAUAUUGAACCGCCUGGUUCAAUAGUGAAAGACGGGUUUGCUGUCACUUAUAGAUGGAUCCGCGCCGCAUUAGCUAGUUGGUAAGGUAACGGCUUACCAAGGCGACGAUGCGUAGCCGACCUGAGAGGGUGAUCGGCCACACUGGAACUGAGACACGGUCCAGACUCCUACGGGAGGCAGCAGUAGGGAAUCUUCCGCAAUGGGCGAAAGCCUGACGGAGCAACGCCGCGUGAGUGAUGAAGGUCUUCGGAUCGUAAAACUCUGUUAUUAGGGAAGAACAAAUGUGUAAGUAACUAUGCACGUCUUGACGGUACCUAAUCAGAAAGCCACGGCUAACUACGUG